GCAAGGUGUGGAGAAGAGAAGAGAUCUUCAAGAUCAGAAGAAAUUGAAGAUCAACUUUCAUCAAGAACACUUUGUAAUGUCUUUAAUUUGUAAUCUUUUGUCUUUGAAUAUUAUGAGAGACUAAACCCCCUAAUGCUAGGGGGUGUCCUUGAAUUGCUUCUUUAUGAAUAUUUUAUCCAUGUUCUUAUAAUCAUUGAUGUUUUCGUAAUUCAAAUUAUUAGACGACGUGCUUAAUGCUUA
rnacentral:lncRNA from 1 species